GGGAUAUAGCUUAAUGAGAGAGUGCAAGCCUAGCAUGCUCAAAGCCCUGGGUUCUAUCCCCAGUAUCACCCA
rnacentral:tRNA from 1 species